rnacentral:rRNA from 1 species
CCUANGGGUGGCAGCAGUAAGGAAUAUUGGUCAAUGGGCGCAAGCCUGAACCAGCCAUGCCGCGUGCAGGAAGACGGCCCUAUGGGUUGUAAACUGCUUUUGUACGGGAAAAAACCUCCGGUCGUGAACCGGAGCUGAUGGUACCGUAAGAAUAAGCAUCGGCUAACUCCGUGCCAGCAGCCGCGGUAAUACGGAGGAUGCAAGCGUUAUCCGGAUUCAUUGGGUUUAAAGGGUGCGCAGGCGGAAUGAUAAGUCAGUGGUGAAAUCCUGCAGCUUAACUGCAGAACUGCCAUUGAUACUGUCGUUCUUGAGUAUAGUUGAAGUGGGCGGAAUGUGUCAUGUAGCGGUGAAAUGCUUAGAUAUGACACAGAACACCAAUCGCGAAGGCAGCUCGCUAAACUAUAACUGACGCUCAUGCACGAAAGCGUGGGGAUCAAACAGGAUUAGAUACCCCANUANUC